rnacentral:rRNA from 1 species
GGCUAACGCUGGCGGCGUGUCUUAGCCAUGCAAGUCGAGCGGACUUAUGGGGUAACUUAUAAGUCAGCGGCGGACGGCGGAGUAACACGUAGCUAACCUACCCUCUGGACGGGGAUAACCUACCGAAAGGUGGGCUAAUACCCGAUGUAGUCAUCCUGUAUAGGGGUGAUGAAAGGUGGGCUUCUGUUUACAAGCUCAUGCUGGAGGAGGGGGCUGCGGCCUAUCAGGUAGUUGGUAGGGUAAUAGCCUACCAAGCCGAUGACGGGUAGCCGGCCUGAGAGGGUGACCGGCCCGAGGGGCACUGAGAUACGGGUCCCACUCCUACGGGAGGCAGCAGUGGGGAAUCUUGCGCAAUGGGGGCAACCCUGACGCAGCCAUGCCGCGUGAACGAUGAAGGCCUUAGGGUUGUAAAGUUCUUUUACCCGUGACGAUGAUGACGGUAACGGGGGAAUAAGCUCCGGCUAACUUCGUG